rnacentral:rRNA from 1 species
UACGUAGGUGGCAAGCGUUGUCCGGAUUUAUUGGGUUUAAAGGGUGCGUAGGUGGUCUAUUAAGUCAGUGCUGAAAUAUCCCGGCUUAACCGGGAGGGUGGCAUUGAUACUGAUGGACUUGAGUGGAGUUGAGGUAGGCGGAAUUGACGGUGUAGCGGUGAAAUGCUUAGAUAUCGUCAAGAACACCAAUAGCGAAGGCAGCUUACUAAGCUCUAACUGCCACUGAUGCACGAAAGUGUGGGGAUCAAACAGG